UGUCACUUCCGAAUGUUUGUAAAGCAUAGCAUGGCUUCGUUUACCUCUACUGCAACUUCCAGUACAUGGCCACGACAAAUGUGUGCCUGUGGACAUAGCCCCUGUAUUGUUAAGAUUUCCAGGUCCACCAAAAAUCCAGGGCGUCCCUACUUUGCAUAUCCCCGCCCUGUGCCCUGUGUCAGUUGGAUUGGUUGGUGCGAAGAACCAAGGCGAGAGAACCAAGACUAUGCGUCACCCAGAGACGAAAUUGUCAUGCAAUUGCGAGCUGAUGUCAUAGACAUUCAACAAUCCUUGUGUGUCCUUAAGACCAUUGUGUAUGUGCUAUGCAUUGUCGUUGUCAUUUUGUUGUUCCGUAUGUAAGCAAUGUUAGGAUGUUGUCAGUAUGUACAAACACGUUAUGAGGUUGUUAGUAUGUUGGUAGUAUGCUUUAGUAUGACUUUAAGCUGCCUUUGCCUUCCUCCACUACGAAACGGUAGACGUAUUAAUGACUAUCAUAACUAUGUCCACUACUGAGUUCCAUGGAACCUGUGUAUGUAUGUUAUUAAUGUGCAAUGGUUAUAUGCUGUCUAAUUUAGCAUCCUA